UUAAAGAAAUAAAUAAGAAGAGAGGUUUGAGUUUUCCAAUUUUAAUAAUUCUCUCAACAAGAUCAACAACAAAACAACUGCCUUUUGAAACAACGGUUUUUAACGAGUGACAAUAUUGCUGCCGCAUGCAUGCAUGCACUUUAUGUACAUUUGAAUAAAUGCAACAAAAAGACUAAUUUAUUUACAACACCAUCUGGUUGCCUUAAAAUAAUUAUUAAAAAAACAAAAAAAAAACAAAAAAAAA